UACAGAGGGUGCAAGCGUUAAUCGGAAUUACUGGGCGUAAAGGGCGCGUAGGCGGUGUAUUAAGUUAGAUGUGAAAUCCCUGGGCUUAACCUAGGAACUGCAUCUAAUACUGGUACGCUAGAGUGCAGUAGAGGGUAGUGGAAUUUCCGGUGUAGCGGUGAAAUGCGUAGAUAUCGGAAGGAACACCAGUGGCGAAGGCGGCUACCUGGACUGACACUGACGCUGAGGCGCGAGAGCGUGGGGAGCAAACAGG
rnacentral:rRNA from 1 species